AGAAAACAGCUGUCUCUUUNNAAUUUUUAUUUAAUUUAACUUUUAAGUAAAAAGGCUUAAAUUUUUAUUAAAGACGAGAAGACCCUAUAGAGUUUUAUAUUUAACUUAUAAUAAUUUAUUUAGAAUUGUUUAAUUUUUUAUUUAGUUAAUUAUUUGGUUGGGGUGACUAAAAGAUUUGUUAAACUCUUUUAAUUUUAUAUCAUUGAUUUAUGAAUAGAUUAUCUAGAUUUAUUAAAUUUAAGAUUAAUUACCUUAGGGAUAACAGCGUAAUUUCUUUUUAGAGUUCUUAUUGAUAAGGAAGUUUGCGACCUCGAUGUUGAUUUAAAUUGCCGNNNNAUGNNUG
rnacentral:rRNA from 1 species